rnacentral:tRNA from 1 species
AGGAUUGUAGUUUAUUAAAACAUUUGGUUUGCAGUCAAAUAAUAUUGAAUUUUUCAAUCUAUCUU